AAAAGUGCUUGCAGUGCAGGUAG
rnacentral:miRNA from 1 species